UAUCUACAUGGACAAACAUCUUUCUCCUUUGCUCCAAUUUUAUCCUCACAGCAUCUGUGUCAGGUAGGUAAGGCUGAGAGAUGGUGGCUAGUUGGAACUGCUUCCCAAUAAACUUCAUGGCAGAGUUAAGAAUAUGAACCUGAGUGUCCCUGGUUCUAGCUGAACACUCUAAACAAGCCCUUUCCCCUAUUGUGUCUUUCCCUUGGGGGCAGUUGAAACUUAUAGUUCUAGUUCACAAUUGCCUUCCGACACAAAUAGUUGCAUCCUUGCAUAGGAUGCUCACGACUCUCUUCCUUUAUGGACUGAAGAAAUAUGUGACAUAAAAUGGUGUGUUAUCUAGGUUGAAGUCACAAAAUAACUUCUUCUGCAGCAGGUUGAGGGAAAUGUGGAUUCUUUUCUUCAAGAGAUACUGAUCAUAGAGGCUGCUAGGAUAUUUUCCUUGCUUGAAAUGGAAAUCAGAAGCUUAACACUGUGGGAGCACCUGUCCCAGCAAUGACCCCAAAGUUGUGGUGCUCAGUGCUGCAUAACAUUGGGCAGACCCCAUCCCUUUCAAUGGACUUGGGAGUCUCUAUGGUCUUCAGGGGCUAAUGCAAAAUGCUGUUGCCUAUUGGGGUUUUGCUCGGUUUACUGAUGGUUUUUCUUUUGGCCUUUUUGUGUGUGUUUUUUGGCAUCGCUGCUGAGUAGAUAGUUUUAUAUUGCAUUUUAUGGAUUAUAUUUUAAUCCAGUUUGUAAGGAAUACUACUUCCAGAAGGCCACAGGCUCCUCAUGCCUAGUCUAAAAGGAUAUUUCCAUUCUGCCACCUGAGUGGCUCAGACAAAUCUCAGGUGCAGAAUAUGAUGCACAGAGUACCACUAGCCAUGAGGGCUAGGUUCUCCCUCCACUGUCAAUCUAUCUAUCUAUCUAUCUAUCUAUCUAUCUAUCUAUACCCCACCCAUCUGGCUGGGUUUCCCCAGGCAUUGUCACAAUGACACCAAACCUGGCAUUAAGCACCAUUACACAACAGAUUAAUAAUAAUAAUAAUAAUAAUAAUAAUAAUAAUAAUACUUUUUAUAAUUUAUACCCCACCCAUCUGGCCGGGCCUCUCCAGCCACUCUGGACGGCCUCCAACAAAAUAUUAAAAUACAGUAAUGCAUCAAACAUUAAAAGCUUCCCUAAACAGGGCUGCCUUCAGAUGUCUUCUAAAAGUCUGGUAGUUGUUGUUCUCUUUGACAUCUGGUGGGAGGGCAUUCCACAGGGCGGGUGCCACUUGCCACUACCGAGAAGGCCCUCUGCCUGGUUCCCUGUAACUUGGCUUCUUGCAGUGAGGGAACCGCCAGAAGGCCCUCAGCGCUGGAUAUCAGUUAUUCAGUUAUUAUGCCUCUGAAAACCAGUUGCUGGGAAUCACAGAUGCUGUUGCACUUAUCUCCAGCUAGCAGGAUGCUGGACUUGGUGGGGCAUUGGCAGUGGUGAGUGGUGAAUUUUUCGUAGGGAAACAUGGCCAGAGGCACCAGCUGGCAAGGGCGAUUGGGGGGAGGGGGGGGGAAGGGUGAUGUCGUGACGUUGUGACAUUGCAUGCAUGAGAGUCAUGCUUCCAUUUCUAAGCCGGUCAGAAGCUUCCCAGGCUUGGGAAGGCAGUUCCAGACCUCUGAGAGAAUGCUGGGAACUCCCUGCCUCCUUCCCAAAGCCAGUUGGGCUUUGGGAAGAUGGCAGAAGGGCUCUUGGACCCCGUUGGAGCAUCACACCUCCCUCCCUAAGUCAGGCAGAAGCUGCCCAGGCUUAGGGAAGGAGGCGCCAGGCUUUAAUACUUUAAUACUCUAAUUGUCCCAGAACAUUAGGGGACUUGCCUAGCCCCCUAGUCCACUAACCUCACAUCACUGGCCAUUGGUUUAAACCAGCAGGCUCAUUUUAUGUUCUUAUGGGGGGAAAAGGUUCAUACCAACAAGUGUUGGGGGGGGAACAGUUUGAAGAAAAAUAUAAUAUGCAUAUGCUGUGACAAUUUGUCACUCAACUUCAGCCUAGUGAGGGAAAACAUGAGUCAGGAUGAUGACUCAGACUAUUUCCUAUCCCUGUCAUUUUCACAUGUGUUUAUUCAUAUGCUUCUUCCUUCAUCUAUCCAAAUUAAUCUGCAUUUUUAAAAAAAACUUCACAAACAUGCACAUUCAGAUGUCAGUUUGCAUUUUGAGCAUAUCUUAUCUCAAUAUACACAUUUCUGAAUGCACUGUGUCCCAAAAGAAGCAUUUAUAACUAAAUGUUACCUCAGAGUUUACAUCUAUAAACACAUUUUCUGUACUUUCCUUUUUUAAAAAAUGAGCAUUGCAAAAUCCAGUGGAGAAUUAAAUGGACAAGAUAACAACAUUCUGAUCUGCCCACGAGUUUGGGAGCUGUGGAUAAAGUAUUCUUGUACUUAAUUGACAAACUAAUCUUACUUAGUUAUUUACUAAAAACAUUUUAUCCCCUGCUGUUUUAUCACAUUGGCUAAAAAGGAUUCAAGUAAGUGGAGGAAGGGAAGAAUUUGUUAUUCACAGCGGGGAGAGCUGCCAUGACAGGUAAAACCCUCCAGCUGCAAAAGAAGCCAAGGAAAACUACCAAGGUAAGGAACUUUCCACAUGGGAAGACUAAAUAUCUAUCUAUCAUCUAUCUAAGGGACGCGGGUGGCGCUGUGGGUUAAACCACAGAGCCUAGAACUUGCUGAUCAGAAGGUCAGCGGUUCGAAUCCCCAUGACGGGGUGAGCUCCCAUUGCUCGGUCCCUGCUCCUGCCACCUAGCAGUUCGAAAGCACGUCAAAGUGCAAGUAGAUAAAUAGGUACCGCUCCGGCGGGAAGGUAAACAGCAUUUCUGUGUGCUGCUCUGGUUCACCAAAAGCGGCUUAGUCAUGCUGGCUACAUGACCCGGAAGCUGUACGCCGGCUCCCUCGGCCAAUAAAGCGAGAUUAGCGCCACAACCCCAGAGUCGGUCACGACUGGACCUAAUGGUCAGGGGUCCCUUUACCUUUACCUAUCAUCUAUCUAUCAUCUAUCUAUCUAUCAUCUAUUUAUCAUCUAUCUAUCAUCUAUCUAUCUAUCUAUCUAUCAUCUAUCUAUCUAUCUAUCUAUCAUCUAUCUAUCUAUCUAUCUAUCUAUCUAUCAUCUAUCUAUCUAUCUAUCUAUCUAUCUAUCUAUCUAUCUAUCUAUCUAUCUAUCAUCUAUCUAUCUAUCUAUCUAUCUAUCUAUCUAUCAUCUAUCUAUCUAUCAUCUAUCUAUCUAUCUAUCUAUCUAUCUAUCUAUCUAUCUAUCUAUCAUCAUCUAUCUAUCUAUCAUCUAUCUAUCUAUCUAUCUAUCUAUCUAUCAUCUAUCUAUCUAUCUAUCUAUCUAUCUAUCUAUCUAUCUAUCUAAUCUAUCACCUUUCCACUUAGAAACUAGUCAAGAGCCAGGUGAGCCACUGUCCACACUUUUCGAAACAAAAGUUCCAGUUGGGAAGAUCUGCAACUGCAUCUCAGAAGCAAGAUUCAUACAACCAGAGGAAGACAAGUGGAUGAUUGGGCCACCUUUGGUUUUGUUCUUCUCUUCACUGUGCUCUGACACAUUGAACCAAAUUUUCAUUUGUCAGCUCAUCCUACAUCUGCAUUGUUAUGUUCUCUGCCAAAUUCACACAUUUCUCUUUAUGUUAGCUGUCAUGGCAUGAAGGAUCAAAGACCAUCAAAUGCCAGGUCUCCCACUGAAAGCAGUAAGACACAGGCACACCUCUUCGACUGCAGUAAUGGUAGUUUGCUCAAUUUCAUCUGUCUCUGAAAGCAUUCAGCAGGGGGGAUAGCUAAACAGCAGUUCUUUACAGUUGAAAUGAUUCACAAACUAGAGCAAAUUGAAUGUUUGCCUCUGGCAGAUAACCUCUCUUUGCUUACUGUUCCCAGAUUUUAUGUGCAGAAGAAAGUGAGGGGAAAAGAAAAUAUUGAAAUCUUAACUGUAGCUAUCAGAACAUUUCCCUACUUUUUAUUUUUUUUGCACAUCAGACACCAUUUAUUUUGCAGGGAAAUUUAUAUUAUACUUUAUAUACUGUUUGCACAGAGGGUGGUUUUGUUUUCUUUUUGCAGUUUUUGGUCUUUCGUCAUUACAGCACCUGCAAAAUUGAGUUUCUGCUAUAGUAUAAGCCACAAAAAUGAAGUAGAGCAAAGCUUUACAUACAUAUUCCAUGGAGCUGGUAUUUUUUUAUUUUUUAUUUUGCAUAAUACCUAGGAACAUUAAGCUCGUGAUAUUACAACAGCAGGAAUAAGCUCUACUGAGGCUGCAUUCCAUCUGCCUAAGUCCCUGCAGUUCCCCAGGAGGCCUUCCAUUUUUGCUGCGUAGUUGAGGACAUAAGGCAAGUCUCCCUAGGAUAGUGAGUAUCAUUGCUGCCAGAAGUGGCCCAAAAGGAUAAUUGCAUCUUUGGGUUAUAACCGGGGGAUGUGGUGGGGUCAUCACUUUUGUGUCAUUUUGUUGUUGUUUUUCUUGGGUAGGGGCUGUCAUAUUUUUCUCUAGGUUACGUCCAGAGUGAGACUUCCAGAAGUCUGGAGCAGUAGUUUCGUGCAGGGCUGGAUUUAGGUUUGAUGAGACCCUAAGCUACUGAAGGUAAUGGGGCCCUUUAUAUGUCCAGCUGUCCUUUGUCAACAACAAAUUGCUGUCUUAGGGGUUGUUUCUAAAGGUCUGGAAGGUAUUAAUCCGUUUUGCAUUACUUCCUAUGGGAAAGCAUGCCUUGGUUUUGGAACGCUUUGGUUUUGGAACAGACUUCCGGAACGGAUUAAGUUUGAGAACCAAGGUACAGUACCACUGUAUAUAGAAAUGAGCAAACCGGUGAUAUUUUAGGGAGCAGGAUACAUCAUAGGAGUCAACACAACACAACACAACACAACACAACACAACACACUGUUGCUGUAUGUAGGUUUUAUUUUUAUUUGUUUUUUAUCUUAUAUUUUGGAAAUGUACAUUCACUUUUUUUCCUUUAAUUUUUUUGGGGGCCCCCAAGAGACUGGGGCCCUAAGCUAUAGCUUGUUUAGUGUAUAUGUAAAUCCAGCACUGAUUUCAUGCCCUGGAGUGUGAAAUCUAGCAUGAAACUGUGCCCUUCCUGGGUGGGAGACAGUGGAGAAUGGCAAAGUUUGGUGUUUUUUUAAAAAAGAAUCUGGGAUAAGAGUUGGGGUGUGAGCCACAUCCAAAAAUUUUCUUUUUAUAUCCUUUCCGUUGGCGUUGGGGGGGAUUCAUCCGCCAAGGGUCCUGGCGGGCGGCUGGGCUCCCCCUUGCACAGGCAGGCAGGUGACGCAGCCCUGUUUGGCUCGGGGCUGGGGGAACAUUCUGGUGGCAUAAGCAGCUUGUCUACCCUGGGUGCCAGCAACCUAUGCUGUACCACUGCUCCUAGUUGAUAUCCCCUGAUAUCACCCCAAACAUACCUUGUUGUAGCUUCCAAGAUUUAGGCCAGGGAUACUGUGUGUCUAGCCAAGGUCAAGUGAGGGAUGGGAGUGAGCCUGCCAUCCCUAAGAUGGUGGGGGGGGAGAGACAGAGGAGAGCAAAGUUAUACAGGGGAGAGAAGGGGGUGGUGGUUAUAUCAUAGACCUUGCCCCCUCUGCUUCACAAACAGAGAAACAAAAUGGGAAAGAGUGAGCGAACAGAGGGGAGAAAGAAGGAGAAGGAGAGACACAGAGAGGAAAGUGUUGCCCCCCACCCCACCCCACAGCUAGCACCACUCCAAAUAUAUUUGACUUCAGCCCUGUCGACCCCCAGUCCCUGAGAGAGCACCCCCCAAAAAAGAAUGCCGAUUUUGACAUAAUGAAGGUUUCCUAUUCCUGGAACACACUAACUUCAAGACAAGUCUGUAUCAAACCACAUCCUUCUUCAGUAACAGAAAAAAAAUCACCCCAAACAUACAAAUAAACAAAAACCCAUACAGUGAAGUCCAAAGAUUAUGGGCCGAUCUAAAUCCAGACACCAGCAAAAAAUAAAAACAAAAAUUCAUUCAAAUAGCUGCUGCUUUGACCCAUUGCCAUGGAUGCGUUUGUAUGAAUCUGUGUGCACAUUCUGUAAUUUGGAGGUGUGGUAGAAUUUCAGGUCAGGGCACAACAGAGGUAUCAGAAGACCCCUCUAAAAAGCAGCUUGUACAUAUGCUGUUUACUCUAAGGUAGGCCCCACUGUUAUGUAUGUCGUGGCAAAAGGAUGCUUAGGACUGCAGCCCCCUUGGGACUUUUAGGCUUCAAUUCUUCAGACACUUACCUAGGAGCAAGCCCUGUUAAAUUACUUCUGAGUAGACAUGCAUACAGCUGUUUGGAUAAUUUAUUCCCCGCCCACCUUUUCCCCAGUAACCCUCAUAUCCAUUGUGCUUUCCUGUUUUAACGGGCACUGUGCUGUGUUUAAUUAUAGGCUAUGUGAGGCUUGGUUCAUAUCUCCUCUCGCCCCCUGCUGCGCUCACCUCCCUUGUCCCAGAUAUCUCCACACACAUGUUGUUUACACUCGCUGAUUAUGCAGCAGUCACAUAGUAGCAAUUGAUUAGGAGUCAAUCAAUAUCACAGCAAUUGGCAGGGACCUACAGAGUGCUAGAGCAUUGAUUCACCUGCCACUAGAAUUCACACAGCUGGCUUCCUUUUAGCCUGCUCUUUCCAAUGAAGCAAGGCAGAGAGAAAAUGGAAACUAUUUAUUUGUCUGGUUUUUUCCUCGUUCUUUCUUGUCUUAAAAAAACAGCUUCCUCAGGAGAAGUCAUUGAAAAUUUGUGUGUUAGGGGCUGCAGUGGUCAAAGUAUGCAGCAUUAUGACUGCUAUAGGUCAGCAAUCAAAUCAUGUAUUUAAAGCAUCACAUUUAGGUUCUGGUUAGGGUGCAAAUAGCUUCUCAAAAUCCUAGUUAUGGACAGAGAAACUGAAGGGGUAUUUUCAAUGAAUUUCUCCAGGGAAGAGGAUAAAUUCUCCAACAUUUUCUCAGGGAUCUCACUUCCAUUUAGCAGUGGCAAUAGCACAGCUUUUUUCCUUUUCCCUAAGGUGCUGCUCUGUUUUGUUUGCAUCCUCCACAAUAAGGUAAAGGUAAAAGACUCCUGGAUGGUUACAUCCAGUCAAAGGCAACUAUGGGGUGCGGCACUCAUUUUGCUUCAGGCCAGGGGGGCCAGCGUUUUCCACAGACAGCUUUCCGGGUCAUGUGGCCAGCAUGACUAAACUGCUUCUGGCACAACGGAACACCGUGACAAGUGCCAGAGUGCACAGAAACGCUGUUUACCUUCCUGCCACAGCGGUACCUAUUUAUCUACUUGCACUGAUGUGCUUUCGAAUUGCUGGGUUGGCAGAAGCUGGGACAGGGGAAUGGGAGCUCACCACCGUUGAGCGGAUUCGAACUAUCAAUCUUUCGAUUGGCAAGCCCAAGAGGCUCAGUGGUUUAGACCACAGCGCCACCUGAUCCCUACAUCCUCCCCAUUACUCUGGGCCUGGCAUCAUUGUGGACCAUGGUGGGUGGGUGGAGGACAAAGCACCACACACAAACACGAUAGCAAAUAUAUGAAGUAUUUCUAUUGAUGGGAUUGAGGGGGAAGGGAAAUGUGUUUUCUCAGAAAAAUUGCCUCCUGCUCAGCACCAAUAAGAUCUGUCCCUGUCUUCCCGUCCCCAAUACUUUGUCAUAUAGUUAAACUGUGGAAAUGGCUCCCACCAGCUUGGACGGCUUUAAAGGAGUUUGAGUCCAAAUCAUGAAAGACAUCAAUGGCUACUGGCCAUGAUGACUAUGCUCUUCGUCUACCGCUGAAUACCAGUUCCUGGAAAUUGCAAGUGGGCAGAAUAAUAUUGUACUCCAGUCCUGCUUGCAGGCUUCAUAUAGACAUCUGGUUGGCUACUUUGAGAGCAGAAUGAUGAACUAGAGCAAGCAUAGGCAAACUCGGCCCUCCAGAUUUUUGGGACUACAACUCCCAUCAUCCCUAACUAACUGGACCAGUGGUCAGGGAUGAUGGGAGUUGUAGUCCCAAAACAUUGGGAGGGCCGAGUUUGCCAAUGCCUGUAAGUAGAGGAGCCAUUGGCCUGAUUUAGCAAGCUCUUCUUAGGUCCUUAUGUGUUUCUAUAGCCAUCAAAGCAUGCACUUUGUACCAAUGAGCACACUUGAUGCUGAUUUUCUCACUUUUUAUUUUUUAUGCUGCUGCUGUUACAAACAUCUGCAUUUCAUUAUGUAAUUUGUUAUUACGAUACUAUUUCAAUAAUUGUUUUUAUUUUUAUGUUGUACAGAUAUUUGAUUAUGUAGCGAUUUUUGUGUUGCAUGCUGUAAAUUCCAUGAAGAGCUCAAAAGUUCAUGACUUUCCUCUUUUAUGUCUCAGACAAAUCCAAACAAUUCUUUCUUACCCCCUCUUUCAGCACCCACAAACAACUAUCCUGUUUUCUUAAUUUAUUUACCAUGCUCAGCUCGGCGAUUGUCUGCAUUCCUCAUUCUAAGCCUCUCUCUCUCUCUCUCUCUUGUCUUCCAUUUAACUCCCUACAAUUAUCUUUUUGUUUUAAUUGCUCUGUCCAAAACUGAAUGUGGGUUUCUCAAUAAGGUCAAACUAUUGUCAGGAUUAAUGGAAUAAUUACCUCAUUUGUUUUACACAGGAGGCAGCUGCUAGGACAGCUCAAUAAAACAUUAGUCAGUUUUGCAACCGCUUCACAUUGUCAAUUCAUAUUUACUUGAUCAUCCAUUACAACUCCAAGAUCUUCCCUCAGGUACCUUGCCUAGUGACUGUUCCUCCAUUCUCCAUUUGAUUAUCCUUUCCAAUUUAGGUUUGCCAUUAGUGAACUUUUCAUUGAUUUUCUUUUUUGAGGGGGCAGACACCUCCACUGCUGCAAGGCUACACUUAAUUCUGCCAUGCCCCAACCUAGUUUAUACUCAGUUUAUUUAAAGAGCUGUGCCAAAAAUGUGAAAACAACAACAACAAACAAACAAACGUUUUGUAGCACACUGUUUUGGGAGCUGGUAAUUCACAUUGAAAUGCAAACUGAAUCGGAUCUUUCCCACAUCCCUAUAUGUUAAUAGGUAUCUGCGUCCCAGUCAAUUUGAGGUUUUGCAGGCAUGCAACAGCACCUUGAAUCUGGCCCAGAACUGAAUAGGUAGCCAUUAACACUCUUAGAAAAAGGAGGUGUCGUAUGAGCAAAGCAAGCCAUGACAGUUAAAAUUCUGGCAGUUUUGUUCCAUAUUAACUGAAGCAUUCAGACCACCUUUAAAGUGCAGUCCCAGUCAGGGCUGGUUCAGCUGCGGGUCAGCACAGGGACUCAGAGACGAGCAGUAAAGUUGAUUAUUUAUUCAAAGAGACAAACUACAAACAGAGAACUCCACGGGCAGGACUAGCCUGAAGAAGCAGUUGCCAGGACCGAGGAUCUGAGCUCAGGACCUAAGGCUCCUCCACAGCAAACUCCUUCCCAACAAACUCCUUCAAGGAGCGUGUCUCUGUGCCUUUUGCUCUGCUACAUGUAACACCCUCCUCCUUCUUGGGGGCAGAGUAGGAGGGGAGAGGAAGACAGUGGAACUGGCGGGUUUCUGUGGAUCUGUCAUAGCCUCAGUUCUUCCUCCUCAGCCGCUUCUUUCUCACUUAGACCUGUUGCUUGCUCAGCCUCCAAUCCGUCUGCCCCUCCGCCUUCCCCUGAGCUGUCUUCUGUAUCCUACCACCAGUCUCCUGGCUCAGAGCCUUCCUCCUCUGAUGCUUCUUUGGUGGUUCCCCGGCUGUAGCCUCCCACCAUUUAUCCUCAUCUAGGCAGCUCCUGACUGUCCCAUAUAUAACACAUUGCAGGAACAUAGAUCACUGCCGUGGCCAAACUAUCUUUGUUGAGAAGUUACCGCAGCUGGAGAACUAGCUGUAGCUGAUAAAAGGCACUUGCUUUCACAAAUGCUGGGUAGUCUCUUCUAGUGACUGGUUAUAGGAGUACCCCCAGGCUGUGAUUUGUGGAGAGUGUAGACCCCUCCCCCUCAAGCAGGUUCAGCACCAUCUCCCUCUACAUAAGGACCAACUACUCAUAGCACUUCCAUCUUGGCAGCAUUCAGAUUCCUUGUAUUGGACCUUCCCCAGUCCAUUACCAAUUCCAGGCACUCUCAUAGCAUCACCUGAUUUAGAAGACCAGGAGAAAUAGAGCCAAGCGUCCUCAGCAUACUGAUGGCACUUAACUCAAAAACUCUGGAUGAUGCCUUACAGCAGUUUCAUAUAGUUUUAAAAGCAAAGUGGAAAUUUUAAGACAGGCCUUAAAGUGGACAUAGUAGUUUUUGUGUUUGUUUUUUUUUUUUUUGCUCUUUAGAAACUUUACAUACUUUCCAAUUAAAGACCAAUUUUUUAUUAUUAUUCAUGCUACUUAAGCAAAUGUCUGUGAUUAAAUAUAGUUAGACACUGUGAAGUGACUUCAAAUUUUCCUGCCAUCUGACCUCUCAUUUCCCCCCCUUGUGCCCUGAAGCACAGAGCAUCCAUUUGCUGUUUUCAUUUCAAGCAGAGACUGAAGGAAAGUACUUAUUUAAUGCUGAAGCCUUCUUUAACACUUCCUUUCUCUUCCUUUCUCCUUCCCAACCAGGAAGCAUCUCCCCCUUCAACCUUUUCAUCCACUGAUAAUAGCUUCUCAUUUGGUGUCUUUUCUUCUUUUCUACUUCCUUCGUAUCUCAAGCAUCCUUUUAUCCUAAUCAUCUGUAAUUUUCACUAUUAUUUCUAUUGUGAUAAAUGGCUUUGAAUAAAACCAUUUUUAUUAUCAAAUAACUUUUUAAAAAAAAUAUGCUGUUGAAUAAUGAAAUCCCAGAUUGGCAUACUUCUGUCCAAGUGGCUCUGUAAAAGCAAAAGUAUAGCAAUUAACAGUGAAAUCCUAAACAUGCCUACUCAGAAGUAAGUCACAUUGUGAAAGGCUAUUGGAUUGCAGGCUAGACAAUUGAAUUGUGGCUUGCUACUGAAUAUUCAUUUUUUUCCUUUAAAGAAGGCUUUGAAAGAGUGUGAUCCAAUAAUUUUAUGAAAUACUAAUUGUAGAAAUGGUUUUAUAGUUUUAUAGGUUUUUUUUAAUUAUUAUUAUUGUACACAGCUUGGUAGCUUCUGGCUAUGAAGAGGUAAAUAAAUCGGAAGAUCAAACACCACCAAUAGCAAUAAUAGAGUAAGUAUACCCCCAGUAUAUUUACUUGGAAGUAAGUACCAAUGUCUUAGAUAAUAUUACAUUGCAGUCUCCACGCAGACAAUAGUUUGCUACAAACCAAAUCCGGAUGCAAAAUCUUUGCAAAUCAUACAGCAGCUCGUGCUCUGCUGGAAUUCAGUCUUCUUGAGCCAAUGUGGUGUCUUGGCACACAUUACACUGCGUAAAGUAUCCGAUGGGGGGGGGAAUUAACCUUGAUGAGUUGCUGUUCACAGAAUGAGGAAUCUUCUCUGUAAAGGUUCCAGUAUCGCUCAUGUUCAAACCCUGAUUAUUAAUACACACCAAAGAGCUUCUGGAUGGUUUCUAGCAGUAGUUGCUGCCAACAAUCAGUCCUGGAUAGACAGUAAUAAAGACGGAUUACUUUGGAGUACAUGACUGCAUGGGGCCGGCGUCUCCCGGUUUCCAUAAUGGAUUGCUCUGCUAUUUACAAAUGAAUAUUCACUGCACAAUAGCAUCCUUUACGUUGGCCGCAGGGAAAUGUUUCGUGGUUUUAUAAAGCAGGCAUCUCCUGAGCUAAUCGGCCUCGAUGAGUUUUGCAGGCCCACAAGACCACCAGAUGACUCUUGUUCAUUCGUAACACUUUUUGCACAUCAAAAGAAGUGUGUCUUCCGCCAUUCUCUCUCUUAUCCAAGGCCGGUUAUGAAAAGAUAAUAAUGGGUGAGCUCUGCCAAACUCAAAUUGGAUUGUUCUGUGGAUACGCAAAGCAAUUUCUCUCAAAUUUGGGUUACCUGGGAAUUGGAAGGUGAGUUGCGGGAGGAGCAGACCACUUCCACUUUUGCAAUGGAACUCCCCUCCUUUUCUCCCCAAUGGACCCCCCAAAUAUUCCUUUGAUGCUUUGGGGAACACCAAAGAGCAAAUUUGGUGGGAGUGCAGGGGCAAGUUCCAUUGCACAAGCAGUUGUCAUACAAGGAGGAGAGAGACUUCCUCAGCUGCUUCCUUAGCAUAACCCAGAGGAAGAUCAUAAAGAGAGGUUCUGUAUGGUCUCUUGACAGCAGCAUUUGGAUGGGCACGAAAACUGUUAAUAGGGACAUCCUUGCUGGUUUUGGUUCUGCUCAAAGUGCUUCAAUAGCCCAUACACUGGAAGGCAAUGGUUGGGACUAACUGCAGGGAGGUCAUAGGUGGGAGAUACAGCAACUACAGCAAUGAUGAAGAAAGGACCUUAACUUGUAUAAUAUAUUUGGCUGUAGAUAAAUUACUCACCCAUGCCCUUAUUUAAGGAUUCUGGGUCAUUCUGGCAUUGCCUUGCAUACCCCAUAGACCCUGAGUUCUGUUACACACAUAAUUUUGUUUCCCAAUGGUCACAUCAGGGUUUGGCCUCGCUGUUAGGCAGAGUAAGGUGGGUUCCUCAGGUAACUGAAGUGGGGCCGUGGAGGGGGCAGCCAUGGCAGCCCCCCACUGAAUGGUUCUUUUUGAGUCCCACAGUUGUUUCCCUCUGCUGGAUGAGGGAGUAUAUAAAGUAUUUUCGGAUGCCAAUUUAAAACUAUUCAUAAAGGUUUUUUGCCAGGCCUUUUAGAUUACGAUAUUUGGUUGAGUGGAUUUUUAAAAUAAUAGCAUUUCCAGAGCAUCCUAAAUUGUAUCAGCAGGCUCCAUGGGUACAAGAGACGCCCCACUUCAAACAGUCACCCAGGCUCCAUCUUGUGGAGGGUCCUAAAGAUCAGGAAAGGUGAAAAGUGUUGUAUUGGAAAGAACUAGGCUUGCCAAGUGUACCUCUGCUCUGCCUCAUAACCUCUCACUGGAGGGGGAGACCGUUUUUGCAAAGACAGGUAAAACAACUUCUUGGUUAAUUUAAUUAACAGAGAGGGUGAAAACUAGCUCCUGAUUGAAAUGUCCCUGCGUCACUCUUAGAUAGGCCUAAAUAAUUGUUUACAAAUACAAAAGAAAAGUCUAGUCCUACAGAUUUCUUCUGUAUUGGCUUUUAAUUUCAGGCUUGAUAAACCUGCUGAUGGAUGCAUGUGCGAUAGCCCUGCUUGUUAGUCACUUGAUAUUUCAAAAAUGAAGGUACAAUGCACUUUAAACAAAAUGAUGUUAUGUGGGAGGUAGAUCAGAAACUGGAGAGUAUAAAAGGGAAGAUCCAACAGAGCGUGCGAUGCCUCCCCUCUCCCUUUAUGUAGAAGAAACCAGAUUCUAUCCCCCUUCGCUGUCAUUCCACAAGCAGCCACUCCCCUGCCCAAGUUCAGCAACUUUCUUUGAGUGCCAGAAAGAUGCUCAUGCCUUGCAAAUUAAUAAUCUUUCUUCCUCUCUCUCACAAACAAGCGCUGUGCCAUUAGCAGCACACCUGCUUCUGAAAUUGGCCAUUACAAGGCGACACUUUUCAGCAAGGAGUCCCAAGCACCUUAUUGAUUUCAAAAGAGAGGCAUGUUUGAUCAAUCCAAAACUUCACUCAACACCCUCCCACCUGCACACACACACACACACACACACACACACACACACAACACACACAUCCCAACAACACUCUGAGAGAAAUAAUCUAAAAAUGAGAUUUUCAAAUUAGUAUUUCAAACACUCAUUUCUUCAUGAUAAUAAAGAAAGGUCUUUGCCAGUAGCCCAGGUUAUAAAGUGACGACUUGACGGAAAUAUGCUAGAACAAGCAAAAAUAUUUAGGGGGUCUGUUGAUUUGAGCAUAUAGGAAAAGUGGAGGUCUCCUGUGAUACAUAGAAAAGCCCUGUUCGGAGAACAUUCAUGCUUAAGGGAGGAGCUGGAUUGUGACCAUUGACUCUGCCUCCAUUCUCUAUGCAACAUAUGUUAAACCAAAGAUUUGAACAUAGCCUAUGUGUACAUAUGCUCUAUACUAAUAAUUUAUUAAUUAUUCCCCCUCCCAUCUGGCUGGGUUUCCCCAGCCACUCUAGGCGACUCUGAAUGUUUGAUUGGAGAUGGGAGAUGGGGCUGUAGAUUCUGGUUACUAGACGUCCCCAUUUCCCAGGGACUGUCCCCAGAUUUCCAAAUCUGCCCCUAGACAAAAUCCGUCCCCGGAAUGUCCCCGGAUUUCAUUUAAUGUGCCCGGAUUUAUAUUUUAAGUGUUGUAGAUUUAUUAGUAGGGAAUGAAUGUUGUAUGAUUGGUUCAACGGCACAAGACACAUCAUAUGGGGACUUCCGGUGAGGCAAACUGGCAGGCACCAAGGCAGCGAGCAGCUCCUGAACCCAGCCAGAGCCAACUGUGCUACCAGGCUGGCUGCGGGCUGCUGAAACGUCUGCUGCCGCCACCACUGCUGAGGGGGAACCGGGGACACCUGGCACGUAAACUGGGGGAACUGCUGACACGCACAUCCCCCCGCGGCCCAAAUCAAGCCAGGAGCAAGAGUACCUGGUCACCCGGCUGACUGCCCAACGGUGCUACGGGGCAAGGAAAACCCCGGAGCCGACACAGGGAGAAGGGGAAGAGGAGAAGGAGAAGGAGGGAGAGAGAAAGAGGAAGGAGGAAAAACAGGGGAGUCCUGACCUUGCCACGCCGCUGCUGCCACUGAGGAGGAGAGGUAGAAGAGUACCGGGAGGAGGGCAAGGACAUGAGGCCAAGCCCAGGCCUGACCCGAGCCUACUCCAUGGCGGCUAGCACUCCAAGAGAGCAAGUCAGGGCCCAGAGAAAGGCCGUGCAACAGAGGAGACCACAGAAGAGAAGAUAUUACUUAUUUGUUUGUUUUUUAAUAGCUGUUUUUUCCUCUUUUCAAAAAAAGAAAAGAAAAAAGUGUCCCCGGAUUCCUUGAAAAAAAUCUGGUAACCUUACUGUAGAUCCAUGAUAGAACUUCUGCAUGGCAAGCAGAAAGUCCCAGGCUGAGUCUUCAGAAUCUCUAGAUAGGGCCGGGAGGGACCCCUGUCUGAAAACCUCCAGAGGGAUUAUCAGCAUCCUCUAUUCCUAUGACCUUGCCUUUCCCCAGGUUUCUGAUCAUGCAAAGAGAACAUUAAACGUGUACCUGUGUACACACCACCAGAUCAACACGUCAACAGUGUGACCCUGUUUCCUCCCUCCAUGUGUCCACUGGACAUGCGAAAAGGGCUUAAAAGUGCAUUCUAAAGGUGGAUGAGUGCUGCAUUACAUUUGACAGAAUUUAAGGUGGAAAUACGCUACGCUUUCUAACCUCACUUUUGUCUGUGAAGCCUUUGGCACAGCUGCCUAGUUUCCAUGUUGUAACUUAAAACACAACCCUAAUCUCCCCCCCCCCACUGGGUGUGGCUUGGUGGAGUGGCAGGAGCACUGGUACACCCACAGCCCAACCACUCACAGGGAGUGUAGUGGAAGGAUUGGGCCCAAUCACUAUCCCCGUUCUAGGAUGUGGUUGCCACACAAAAGCAGGGGGACCAUGUUAGAGUCCAACAGAUACCAGGCCAGUUCAGCAUCUCCCCACCCACCCCACCUCCCUCAUCCUCUUUCAGGCAAUUCCACUGUUUACUGCUGGCAGGUAGCCUACCAGCCAAGAAAGCGCCCACCUUAUCCAAACUAGGGAUGCUGGAUAAUUCCAAUGAAAAGAGAAAAGGAAAUGGGAAUCACUGCAGUCCAUGUGUUCAGCUAUAGUCAGGGAUGGACAUUAGUCAAGCAAAUAGCAUUGGUAUUGUGUCACUCAGUUGUUGUUGUUGUGUUUAAGUCUGCAAGAGAUAUGCAAUCAAUGACUAUUUAAAGAUUAUUCUGACAUUUCCGUUCCAAUGAGAUUCAUGUCAGUUACUUAUGUAAUGUAUAUUAAAUAGUGGCAAACGAGAUAAAUAAUACAGUGGUACCUCGGGUUACAUACGCUUCAGGUUACAUACGCUUCAGGUUACAGACUCUGCUAACCCAGAAAUAUUACCUCAGGUUAAGAACUUUGCUUCAGGAUGAGAACAGAAAUCGUGCUCCGGCAGCGCGGCAGCAGCAGGAGGCCCCAUUAGCUAAAGUGGUGCUUCAGGUUAAGAACAGUUUCAGGUUAAGAACGGACCUCCGGAAGGAAUUAAGUAUUUAACCUGAGGUACCACUGUAUAGCAUUUCACAGAAACCAAGCUGCAGCAGAAUGGAAACAGUGCUGAUUGUGACGAAUUCAGGUCAGAGUGGAAACUGAUGCCUUCUUGCAGCCCUAGCCCAGACUGUUCCCAGCUCUGUUGACCCGUAACUAAGUACAGCAUGCAGAACUCUUGCUUGCUGGUUCUUCCCUGUUUGUGACAGUUAUAUAGAGAGAUCACCUAGAACAAUUUGUGCCACUACAGAUGUUUGCACCUUUUUGCUUCGGUAUGAAGGACCUAAGUACAGUAUGUGGGCAAGUUAUGGAUUUAAUUUUGAUUUACAGCAUCUGAAAACCUUCCAAAAAAAUCAAACAAAAGAAUUCUGUUUUUAUCUACUUCCAUUAUGUCCCACAAGGCAGUCACAGUUCUCAAAUUUAUGGGCAGUACUAAAAAAAGAGAAGCUUUUCCUCUUUAACUAUACAUACAUUUGGUGGCAUGUCUUAAUUCCUAUCAACUAGAAGCCUUGAUCAAUUCUAUUCAGCUUUGUUAUACUAAUACCUCCUCACUUUUAUUCUCUUUUUCUAAGGAGGCACUGAUGACCUUUCAGAUGAUCUCAGCAAUGAUUAGCUCUCUCCAUUGAGCAGUAUACCUGACAGUUUCACUUUUCCUUACACCAAAGCAGUUCACCUAAC